rnacentral:rRNA from 1 species
UGGGGAAUAUUGGACAAUGGGCGAAAGCCUGAUCCAGCCAUGCCGCAUGAGUGAAGAAGGCCUUUGGGUUGUAAAGCUCUUUUAGUGAGGAAGAUAAUGACGGUACUCACAGAAGAAGUCCUGGCUAACUCCGUGCCAGCAGCCGCGGUAAUACGGAGAGGGCUAGCGUUAUUCGGAAUUAUUGGGCGUAAAGGGCGCGUAGGCUGGUUAAAUAGUUAAAAGUGAAAUCCCGAGGCUUAACCUUGGAAUUGCUUUUAAAACUAUUAAUCUAGAGAUUGAAAGAGGAUAGAGGAAUUCCUGAUGUAGAGGUAAAAUUCGUAAAUAUUAGGAGGAACACCAGUGGCGAAGGCGUCUAUCUGGUUAAAAUCGGACGCUGAAGCGCUAAGGCGUGGGGAGCAAACA